UGAAUAUUGCAUCGUAUUUGACUGUGAACCACUCUCCUCUGCCAUCACAGCCAGGGAAGCAGCACUGGCUUUUCGGUGGGACUUGCCUGGUGAAGGGGGCCUGUGUCUGUCAGCGUGCUGAGGCCGAGUACUGAGUACCUGGUACUGAGACCRCUGGACGCCCUGUCGGCUCCAGCUGCCCACUGCCGAGCAUAACGGUGCGCCUCGAUGGACUUGAGCUCUGGGCAAACGGUGGCUUGAUGACACAGUCCACAGGACGCUACAUUAAUGGGGUAGCCUGGAAAAGGAUGCCAAAUUUUGGUGGAAAUGCCCUCUGUACCUCAAAAUGAAAGAAGGUAGYAUCCUGUAUCACGAAAGUCAAGAAUGUGGCUCUUUGGGCAGUGAUUCCUUUGGGAGCUGGUGUAAAAGCAGAUCCCACUGCUGCAUUGUACUAUACGGAGAAGAUUAUUAUGUAGAAGUUUCUAGUAGGGAAACUGUCUUCAACAAAGAAAUUUUGAUUGGAAAACUUUCCCAGAAACUCAUUUGAAAGAGAAGACCUCAAUGAUUCAUAUACUUCAAUAUGAAAAAAAAAAGGAAAAGAACAUGUUCUAUACUGUUUUAUAAGGUAGGAGAUGAUUUUAUGGUUCUCUUAAAAAAAAGUCAGGCUUUUGUACUUUACCAGAUAGACUCUGAUGGCUUAGUUUUCAGGGGAUGAACCUGGAGUUGAACUAUGUGUUUUUGAUUUGUGCCUGCUGAGUGCUUUUCUUAAGCUGCUGGCCUAUAUUUUUGUUUUGCUUUUUGGCAUCUUCACCCCUUUACCAGCAUGGGUAUGUAUACUUUAAUGCACAAGGUCAAUGGAAAACAAAGAAGUGCUGGAAGAGUGUARCCUGUACAGUCAGCCUUUCUUUGGAGAACUUUGCAAGUGUUUAAAUCCACUGCACUAUUUGUACUGAAUGUCAUAUUGCCUGACUUACUUAUUCCACAUAAGUCUGUACAAGUGUGGCAGAUUUAGACAAAUAUUCUUCUCAUCCAGCCCUGAGGAAGCAAAUGGCACUGAUGGAUCUAAAAACCACAAAUACAUUACCUGUAAGAAUGAAGGAGACAUGCAAGCACAGCUACUCAGUAGCAAGUACUGAAAUGCCAAGUGACUACAAAUCACAAAAGGCAGAUUUCAGCUGGAGAUCCAUGCAAGACGAGCUGGAGCGUUAGAUAGAAGUAGCCACCCAUUUCCAUUGUUUCCAUCUUAGUGUCUUUUUCAAGGAUGAAAGAAAAUAACCUCGUUGCUGUACCAUGAAACCAGUUUUUUUAUCCCUAAACAUCUGACUUAUAUUGUGUACAUAUAAUUCUGUUGUUUUCAGUUAUUAUAAAGCAUAUAGCUGGCAACAAAGAAACAUCUGCACUAAAAAAUGGCAUAGAUUUGAAAUGUAUUAUUUUUUGAGGGAUGUAUUGACCCAUCAUACAUUGGAAACAGGCCUUUGGGUUGAAUGGGAGCCUCCUGGUAAAUAGUGACUAUAUUU
rnacentral:lncRNA from 1 species